AACAAUUAUUUACUAUCACAAAUGUUGAAAAAGUUGUGUAUAUUAAUUUACAACUGAAAACUGUAAACCGCGAAUAAAACAUUGAAGGUACAUUACGAUCAGAAACCCAGUGUUGUAAUUAUGAGGGGAGAUCUAGGGGAACACAAUUAGAGCAAAAAAUUCAAAUCAAAUAAAUGUUUUUGCAGCAAAGGUAAAUAAUAAGUACCUGCCUAUAUACAUUAUACAUAUUAUAGUUGUGUCGUUAUAUUAGGUUUCCAAGCUGCGACUAAAUAUCAAGGGCAUUAAAGUAAAGAUACCUUUAUGAUAAAAACUGAUUAGCGAGUUAUAACUUACAAAUUAUAC